rnacentral:rRNA from 1 species
GAUGAACGCUGGCGGCGUGCCUAAUACAUGCAAGUCGAGCGAACAGACGAGGAGCUUUCUCCUCUGGCGUUAGCGGCUGACGGGUGAGUAACACGUGGAUAACCUACCUAUAAGACUGGGAUAACUUCGGGAAACCGGAGCUAAUACCGGAUAAUAUAUUGAACCGCAUGGUUCAAUAGUGAAAGACGGUUUUGCUGUCACUUAUAGAUGGAUCCGCGCCGCAUUAGCUAGUUGGUAAGGUAACGGCUUACCAAGGCGACGAUGCGUAGCCGACCUGAGAGGGUGAUCGGCCACACUGGAACUGAGACACGGUCCAGACUCCUACGGGAGGCAGCAGUAGGGAAUCUUCCGCAAUGGGCGAAAGCCUGACGGAGCAACGCCGCGUGAGUGAUGAAGGUCUUCGGAUCGUAAAACUCUGUUAUUAGGGAAGAACAAAUGUGUAAGUAACUAUGCACGUCUUGACGGUACCUAAUCAGAAAGCCACGGCUAACUACGUG